rnacentral:lncRNA from 1 species
AUAUUUGUUGAAAACCCUUCUCACAUAGUUCAUCCAUUACUAUAUUUUUCACUCUUAUCGAGUAUAGAUAUCCUUAUAUAAUUGAACCAGAAUAAGAGGGGAACAGGGAAGAAAAAUUAUACUCUUCUUUCUAUUUGUCGACGUAGUUAUUGUUUUGUGAGUCUUGGUGUGAAAGUGUCUAACUGUUACAAUUUUUCAAAUAGUAAAAAAUCGUCUUUUAAUUUUCUUCAAUUGUGGUGUUUUGUACUUAAAAAAUCUUGCAUUCUAUUUAUUGUCAUUAUUCUCUAUUUUCGUUUUUCUACUCUUUUCCUCUCCUUGAUAUUCUUUCAAACUGCACUUUCAAAACUUGUUCAAUCCAAAACUUGACUAGACCUAUAUCCUUUCCUUUGCCACGAGUUUACUCAUCAAUACCUUUCUGAGUAGUGUUAUUGGAAUUGUAAGUGGUAAAAUGAUGAAAUGCAUAAAGUCGAUGAUGAUAAGGAUUUAUUUAGGCUUCUUUUGGUCUUAUUGUGUUUUAAGGGGAUCAAUUGUAGCUGUACUAGAGAAAGAAUCACUACUUGAAUAAUCAGAUAAGUGUUUGGUACUCUUGGUUUCAAAAUUAGCAUUUCAGGACUUGUUAAACGAAAAGUGAUUUAUUAAUAUGAAUAUAUGUUGGAAAUAUUGAAGUGAUAGAGAAGAGACAAGAGAAGAUCAUAAGAAAUCGCAGGAACAAGAUGAAGAAAUUAGAAAAUAUCAAAAUUAACUUCGAAGGCUGAAACGCGAGAUCGCUGUCCUCAUACGUUAUUUGCCUCCUCUCCAAUGAUUCACGAGAUGUUUAAGGGUAUUCUGGCAAAUGGUUUAAAGGAUUAUAACAAGCAUUGUAAAGAAUUUCACCAAAGCACAAAGUAAAAUUCCCCAAAACUUUAAGAAUAUAAAGGAAUUGAAUAUGAAGAAAUGGAUUGAUGAUCUUUGAUGUUGAACAAGUUUUUUCUUUGUUUUUUUAAGCGUUGAAUAUAGAUCUUCUAUAUAUAGGCCACAUCCAAGGGAGUGAAAUGGUGCCAAAAUUGAUUGAAAAGCCACCGAAGUUGAAAUUAUAACAUUCAAAAACAGCCCUCUAACGGUCACCAAAAACCUACCAUGCGACCGCAUGGUACAUAUCCAUGCGGUCGCAUGAUUCAUUUGAGCUGAGACCUUAAGGUCUCAGCAUAUGGACACGUGACCGCAUGGCCUUUAUGCUCA